GUGGGGAAUCUUCCGCAAUGGACGAAAGUCUGACGGAGCGACGCCGCGUGAGUGAUGAAGGCCUUCGGGUCGUAAAGCUCUGUCAUCGGGGACGAACGGCCUCAGCAGGUAAUGGCUGGGGAUUGACGGUACCCGAGAAGGAAGCCACGGCUAACUACGUGCCAGCAGCCGCGGUAAUACGUAGGUGGCAAGCGUUGUCCGGAAUUAUUGGGCGUAAAGCGCGCGCAGGUGGGAUCUUAAGUCCAUUUUGAAAGUUCGGAGCUCAACUCCGUGAUGGGAUGGAAACUGGGAUUCUUGAGUACCGGAGAGGAAAGCGGAAUUCCCCGUGUAGCGGUGAAAUGCGUAGAUAUGGGGAGGAACACCAGUGGCGAAGGCGGCUUUCUGGACGGUGUCUGACGCUGAGGCUCGAAAGCCAGGGGAGCGAACGGGAUUAGAUACCCUUGUAGUCC
rnacentral:rRNA from 1 species